rnacentral:rRNA from 1 species
GACGAACGCUGGCGGCGUGCUUAACACAUGCAAGUCGUACGGAAAGGCCCUGCUUUUGUGGGGUGCUCGAGUGGCGAACGGGUGAGUAACACGUGAGUAACCUGCCCUUGACUUUGGGAUAACUUCAGGAAACUGGGGCUAAUACCGGAUAGGAGCUCCUGCUGCAUGGUGGGGGUUGGAAAGUUUCGGCGGUUGGGGAUGGACUCGCGGCUUAUCAGCUUGUUGGUGGGGUAGUGGCCUACCAAGGCUUUGACGGGUAGCCGGCCUGAGAGGGUGACCGGCCACAUUGGGACUGAGAUACGGCCCAGACUCCUACGGGAGGCAGCAGUGGGGAAUAUUGCACAAUGGGCGGAAGCCUGAUGCAGCAACGCCGCGUGCGGGAUGACGGCCUUCGGGUUGUAAACCGCUUUCGCCUGUGACGAAGCGUGAGUGACGGUAAUGGGUAAAGAAGCACCGGCUAACUACGUG